CGUAAUCACUUGUUCUUUAAAUGGGGACUAGUAUGAAUGGCAUCACGAGGGUUAAACUGUCUCCUUUUUCUAAUCAGUGAAACUAAUCUCCCCGUGAAGAAGCGGGGAUUAUUUUAUAAGACGAGAAGACCCUAUGGAGCUUUAAACAAAUUUACACCUGCUUUAAUAGAUUUUACCUCCUGAAUACUCACACAAAUAAUAGCAUGACUGUUAAAUAGUUUUCGAUUGGGGUGAUCAUGGAGAAAAAAAUAACCUCCACGACGAUAAGGGAAUAUCCCUGAGCCAAAAGCCACAACUUUAAGCACUAAAAAAUUAACGCACUUUGACCCAAUUACUUGAGCAACGAACCAAGUUACCCUAGGGAUAACAGCGCAAUCCACUUCAAGAGCUCCUAUCGACAAGUGGGCUUACGACCUCGAUGUUGGAUCA
rnacentral:rRNA from 1 species